GGGCGCAAGCCUGAUCCAGCAAUGCCGCGUGAGUGAAGAAGGCCUUCGGGUUGUAAAGCUCUUUCAGUCGAGAAGAAAAGGCUGCAGUGAAUAACUGUAGUUCAUGACGGUAUCGACAGAAGAAGCACCGGCUAACUACGUGCCAGCAGCCGCGGUAAUACGUAGGGUGCGAGCGUUWAUCGGAAUUACUGGGCGUAAAGGGUGCGCAGGCGGCUUUGUAAGUCAGAUGUGAAAUCCCCGGGCUUAACCUGGGAAUUGCGUUUGAAACUACAAGGCUAGAGUGUGGCAGAGGGAGGUGGAAUUCCAUGUGUAGCAGUGAAAUGCGUAGAGAUAUGGAAGAACAUCGAUGGCGAAGGCAGCCUCCUGGGUUAACACUGACGCUCAUGCACGAAAGCGUGGGGAGCAAACAGGAUUAGAUACCCUGGUAGUCCACGCCCUAAACGAUGUCAACUAGUUGUUGGGCCUUAUUAGGCUUAGUAACGAAGCUAACGCGUGAAGU
rnacentral:rRNA from 1 species